rnacentral:rRNA from 1 species
GCCAGCAGCUAGAUCACCCUGCAGCCCCACACUGGAGCUCAGCAGGCGUGAGCCUGGCCAGUACCUGGAAGGGAGACCUCCUGGGAAAAACUAAGGUUGCUGCUGGAA